CUGUAUUUGAGCCUGCAGCUGCUGCCUCUGCCCUUGAUCUGCCUGCUGACAUCAUCAGAAUUGGUGAUCUGUACCAAUCACAAUGCUUCCCCAAAAGGAUUGGCUGAGACAGUCAAGGAGGCAGAGCCAGCGUUUACUGCAAAAAGCCUGAAAGGAAUGAUUCUACUCACUAGAACAUAUACAAUGAGCUGUAAUUGAUCUGGUAACUAUAGUGUCUCUUUAAUAAUGGUUUCAAAACAAACAAUUCAAAUUUUUACAUUUAAAUCUCAUUUUUAUUGACAGAAUAUACACAGAAAUACUAUUUAUUGAAGGCAGAAGCCCC